ACUCGUCAGAGCGAGUAUAAAUAGCUUUUUAGGCUCUGAGCGUCCUCAAGGUGAAAUCCAGAUUUGGUAGUAACCUUGGGGGGUAAAG
rnacentral:ribozyme from 1 species